CAAACUGGUGGUUGCAAAGGAGCCUUUUUCCUCCACCAUCUCUCACCCUCAGCUCCUCUAUCGGAUAUAGCAGCCAGCAGAGCUGUUACACCUGUUCUCAUUCUCCACCUCCUAGACACAGAGUAUAAUUUCACUGCCUUUUUUCACUGGAACACAGGCAGGUCAUAUGCCUUGCUUUGGCCAGUGGGGAGUGAGUGAAAGUGCUUGCAUCAUCUCCGGCCGAUCCAUUUACUUCUCAGUGCCAGACAGAGCAGCACCCCUGAUCCCUAGCAUAGUGGUCCUGGAACCAUAACUGGUGAUGAAGCGUCUGUCAGCCUGGAGCCCUCAGCGAUUUCAAGGAGCAGAGCCCCCACUAAACACACACUGGACAGAUAAUGCAAAUGACAGAACAAUAUUCAGUGCUAGAAAGAAGUGAGCUACCAAUCAUGGAAAGACACAGAGAGCCUUAAACGUAUAUUACUAAGUGAGAGAAGCCAAUCUGAAAAGGCUACAUACUGUAUGAUUCCAGUUAUAUGAGAUUUUGAAAAAGGCAAAACUAUGGAGACCACGAAAAGGUUGGUGUGUUCUAGGGGUUGGGGGGCGGGAGGGAUAAACAGGCAGAGCACAAAAAAUUUUUGGGCACUGAAACUAUUCUGCACAGUAGUGCAAUGGUGGAUGCAUAUCAGUGUAUGUGUCAAACCCCAUAGAAUGUACAGUACCGAGAAGGUAAACUAUAGACUUUGGUGAUAAUGAUGUGUCCAUGUAGGUUCAUGGGCGAUAACAAACGUACUGCUCUGGUGGGAGAUGUUGAUGGUAAGGAUGAUUGUGCAUGUGUGGGGUCUAUGGGAACCUUUUGCACUUUGCUCAAUUUUGCUGUGACCUUAAAACUGCUCUAAAAAGUCAAGUCUACUGAAACAAAAGCAGUAACAUUCUCUUUCAUGCUUCUGGAGGAGACGAUGCCUUCUUGGGAGCGAGUCUGAGGGGUGAAGCUGAGCACUCCAGUUCUCUUACGGGUGACCAGGAGCAGACACUGAUGCCACAGAAAGAGCAGAGGGAGCUGGAGGAGUGAAGGCUGAGAGGUGAGUUAUUAACAAUUUCCGAGUACAUGAAGCACUACAGAGCAAAAGUUGAGACACAGCUGUUCUCAACAGCCACCAGAGUCAGAAAAAUAAGCUUGACUGACAGCAGGAGGAGGGAAUUAAAAAAGAUCUAGAACAGUAUUAAGUACAGGAGAGUGUGGCAAAUAGUAUCCAUUCACGCAGUCAUUCAGCAAACCUUUACUGAGCACCUACCAGGCAGCAGGCACUCUGCUAGGUGUCGGAAGUAUGAAGAUAAAGCCAAAGCCUCUGCCCUCAAGUGGUUCACAGAAUCACAUCAGCCCAGUCGUCACCUCCGUCACCUCCGCAGAUAUGUGCCUUCCUCCCUGUAAAUGCCUCAUAGAUAUUCAUCGCAUGAAUGGCUGAAAUAGGAUUGAACCAGUGGGAAAGACAAAGAAGUCAUCAGGUAUCACAGAUCCUUUUCUCUAGCCUGGGGUUGAUGUACGCCUUUCCCGAGGCAGGAAGGUGGCUGAUGGAGAUCUAUGUCCAAUUGAAGAUGCCACUUAUAAUUAGGUUUGAUUCCCUGAAGUGCUGUUUUUGGAGAAAGUUGUCCAGUAUUUGAGGAAGGCCAAGUUUAACAAGUUAGACCUGAAACUUCACCAACCCUCCAAGUCAAGUUCCCCGGCCAAGCGUUUAUAUUUAAUUGGAUGUUGUCACCAGUCAUCUGCUCCAAGAAUGCAGAACACUACUUUCAAAGCAGAUACCUUUUUUGGAGCUGCACAGUGCAAAUCUUGAUGAGUGAAGUCAAAACAGCGCCUGGCAGUGUGACUGACAACCUCACAUCAGUCAACUCAGAAAGAACUGGAAGGCUUCCACCUCCCUGCCCGCCUCUGCCACAAAGUGCCUCACACACCAUGUGCAUCUGGCUGGCCAUCCACUAGGCAGACGUCGCAGCGUGUGGUCUGAGUGAAUCCCAGCCUUCUCCUUUCUGUGCCUGCAAAGCUGUCCCCAAUUCCCUUGAAGCUCCCUGGACGACGCCCACACAAAGGCCUUUCCACCCGCCGGAGCUUCUUCCUGUUGCUGUGCCUUGCUUUUUUCUUCACAGCUCGAUAAACCCUUCUCAUCUCAUAUUUAUCAAAUGCAACCACAAAGGGACCACUUAAUUAACAGGCUGCCAUUGUGUGGAAGAUGAUUUGGAAGCGUACAGCCAUUUAAGAAACCUCACACUGUUCCAGACGACAAAAACAGUAGGAUGCACCAUCUGGGAGGAAGCUUCCGCUGAAACAGACGCCAGUGUUUCCAUGAUUAAGAACCUAAUAUUAUAACAUCAUAGUAUGCUGUGCCAUUUGGUUAGCAGAGGCAGCCUUGCGAGUGAGUGUUCUCAGGUCUCGCCUGCUUAGAUGCAGCCAAAUCAUUCAGUAUCAAAAUAUUUGCUCUGGCAAGGGGCCCUGGUUUAUACUGCUCUUGCAUCUAUUCCCCCAUCAAGCCUAUGUGGGGUGGACACACUGAAAGAGCUUAAUUAAAACUUGCCAAGGAA